UGGGGAAUUUUCCGCAAUGGGCGCAAGCCUGACGGAGCGACGCCGCGUGAAGGAAGAAGUCUUUCGGGAUGUAAACUUCUGUAGGUUGGGACGAAUAAAUUGACGGUACCAACAAAGUAAGCAUCGGCUAACUACGUGCCAGCAGCCGCGGUAAUACGUAGGAUGCAAGCGUUGUUCGGAAUUACUGGGCGUAAAGAGUACGUAGGCGGUAAUGUAAGUCUGAUAUUAAAAACCGGAGCUUAACUCCGGGGGUGUAUUGGAAACUGCGUUACUAGAGGACAGUAGAGGAAGUCGGAAUUCUCAGUGUAGCGGUGAAAUGCGUAGAUAUUGGGAAGAACACCGGUGGCGAAAGCGGACUUCUGGGCUGUUACUGACGCUGAGGUACGAAAGCGUGGGGAGCAAACGG
rnacentral:rRNA from 1 species